rnacentral:rRNA from 1 species
GGAAAUCUCACCAGGCCCGGACACUGGAAGGAUUGACAGAUUGAUAGCUCUUUCUUGAUUCGGUGGGUGGUUGUGCAUGGCCGUUCUUAGUUGGUGGAGCGAUCUGUCUGGUUAAUUCCGAUAACGAACGAGACCCCAACCUGCUAACUAGCCCUCGGGUCCUGCUUCUGUUGGGCCCGACGGAAUGAUUCGCUUCUUAGAGGGACUCGCGGCGCCUAGCCGCACGAAGGGGGGCGAUAA